CAACUACUACAUGAUUCCACUUAACAGAGCUGGAGUGCAUCCCGGGGACUUGGGAGCUCUGGAAAGAGGAGCAGGAAAGGGCCAUGGCCGGAGGAGGCCUGAAAAAGAUCAUCUCUGCCACAGAGAAGAAGCUGGCUCGGAUGCUGCUGGCCCCUAUGGAGACAGGGAGACCCGGGGAGACAACUGUAUUCAUUCAAGGAGGAAUGGGUGGUGAUGCAAACUUGGGUGGAGGCCACAGGGUGCAGAAGACAGGACACAGCAGAGAGAGAUGUAGGACAUGGAAGGGACAGAAAGGAGUGACCACAGGACAUAAAGGGGCAAGGAAAGUGGAAGCAUGAUAACAUCUGCUGGGCAUCCGGCUGAGGGGUUGGGUGCCUAGGGUGCCCUUCCCUAAGGGAGAACCCCAGGAGCAGAUUCAGAGAAAACCGCCCAGCUCACUCCAGCAAGAAUCAGAAAAGGACCGGUUAAAGGAGAGGGUAGGAAGGUCACCAAGCUCCAAGGGCCCUCAUGAAUCCGGCUUGGAGGCCACAGGGCCCAGGGCAAGGACAAAC
rnacentral:lncRNA from 10 species